CCUACGGGUGGCAGCAGUGGGGAAUAUUGCACAAUGGGGGAAACCCUGAUGCAGCGACGCCGCGUGAGUGAAGAAGUAUUUCGGUACGUAAAGCUCUAUCAGCAGGGAAGAAAAUGACGGUACCUGACUAAGAAGCCCCGGCUAACUACGUGCCAGCAGCCGCGGUAAUACGUAGGGGGCAAGCGUUAUCCGGAUUUACUGGGUGUAAAGGGAGCGUAGACGGCUGCACAAGUCUGGAGUGAAAUGCCGGGGCUUAACCCCGGAGCUGCUUUGGAAACUGUGGAACUAGAGUGCAGGAGAGGUGAGUGGAAUUCAUAGUGUAGCGGUGAAAUGCGUAGAUAUUAGGAGGAACACCAGUGGCGAAGGCGGCUUACUGGACUGUAACUGACGUUGAGGCUCGAAAGCGUGGGGAGCAAACAGGAGUAGAUACCCUAGUAGUC
rnacentral:rRNA from 1 species